rnacentral:rRNA from 1 species
AUGAACGCUGGCGGCGUGCUUCACCCAUGCAAGUCGAACGGGAUCCAAGGGGUGCUUGCACUUUUUGGUGAGAGUGGCGAACGGGUGAGUAACACGUGAGUAACCUGUCCUUUUCUUUGGGAUAAGCAUUCGAAAGGGUGUUUAAUACCUUAUGUUCUGUCUGCCUCGCAUGGGGUGGGUGGGAAAGGCUUUGGCCGGAUUUGGGUGGGCUCGCGGUCUAUCAGCUUGUUGGUGGGGUGAUGGCUUACCAAGGCUUUGACGGGUAGCCGGCCUGAGAGGGUGGUCGGUCACAUUGGGACUGAGAUACGGCCCAGACUCCUGCGGGAGGCAGCAGUGGGGGAUAUUGCACAAUGGGCGAAAGCCUGAUGCAGCGACGCCGCGUGGGGGAUGAAGGCCUUCGGGUUGUAAACUUCUUUUGCUCUGAACAAGGCAUGCCAGUGGGUGUGUUGAGUGUAGGGGUUGAUUAGCGCCGGCUAACUACGU